rnacentral:sRNA from 1 species
UGUAAAGGUAAAAUUGCAACGUGCUCGU